rnacentral:rRNA from 1 species
CCUACGGGGGGCAGCAGUGGGGGAUAUUGCACAAUGGGGGAAACCCUGAUGCAGCGACGCCGCGUGGGUGAAGAAGUGUUUCGGUAUGUAAAGCCCUGUCAGCAGGGAAGAAAAUGACGGUACCUGAAGAAGAAGCCCCGGCUAACUACGUGCCAGCAGCCGCGGUAAUACGUAGGGGGCAAGCGUUAUCCGGAUUUACUGGGUGUAAAGGGGGCGUAGACGGCAGUGCAAGUCUGGAGUGAAAUCCCAUGGCCUAACCCCGGGACUGCUCUUGAAACUGUGUGGCUGGAGUGCAGGAGGGGCAGGCGGAAUUCCUGGUGUAGCGGUGAAAUGCGUAGAUAUCAGGAGGAACACCGGUGGCGAAGGCGGCCUGCUGGACUGCAACUGACGUUGAGGCCCGAAAGCGUGGGGAGCAAACAGGAUUAGAUACCCUAGUAGUC